UCCCUGGUGGCUCAGAUGGUAAAAGUGUCUGCCUGCAAUGCGGGAGACCCGGGUUUGAUUCCUGGGUCGGGAA
rnacentral:tRNA from 1 species